GACGAACGCUGGCGGCGUGCUUAACACAUGCAAGUCGAGCGGAAAGGCCUUUCGGGGUACUCGAGCGGCGAACGGGUGAGUAACACGUGAGUAAUCUGCCCUGUGCUCUGGGAUAGCCACCGGAAACGGUGAUUAAUACCGGAUAUGACCAGCCUACGCAUGUGGUGUUGGUGGAAAGUUUUUUCGGCGCAGGAUGUGCUCGCGGCCUAUCAGCUUGUUGGUGAGGUAAUGGCUCACCAAGGCUUUGACGGGUAGCCGGCCUGAGAGGGUGACCGGUCACACUGGGACUGAGACACGGCCCAGACUCCUACGGGAGGCAGCAGUGGGGAAUAUUGGACAAUGGGCGGAAGCCUGAUUCAGCAACGCCGCGUGAGGGGUGACGGCCUUCGGGUUGUAAACCUCUUUCAGUACCGACGAAGCGCAAGUGACGGUAGGUACAGAAGAAGGACCGGCCAACUACGUGCCAGCCGCCGCGGUAACAC
rnacentral:rRNA from 1 species